UUGAAAUGCACAGUUUUCCUAGUUUUGAGUCUGAAAUGAAGAAGUAAAUAUUUGUUCAUUCACUCAGCAAGUAUUUAUUGAGUGUCUACUAUGUGCAAGGCAUUAUUCUAGGGUCUAUAGAUACAGAAAUAAACAAGACAAUGUUCUUUUCCAGUCCUGGAAUAUUAGGGUAACAUGGAGAAGAUGGGAGUGGAGACAUAAUAAACAAAUGGACAAAUAUAUAUACAUAUAUAAAAAAUAUAAAAAUGUUAUAAUGUAAAUAUAUUUUAUCAGGUCAUUGUAAGUGCAUUGGAAAGCAUGAGACAAGGAGAAGAAUAAGACACUGCCAGUGAAAUCAGGAAUUUCUAUUUUAAAUAGGUGGCCAAAGAAGUUGUUCUAAGGAGGUGCUGCAUGAUAUAAAAUCAGAUAUAGGUUUAGUGAGAGUAACAUCAUGUGGAUAAGUGACAGCAGAAUUUUCUGGAUAGAAAAAUCGUUGAACUUGCUGCCCUAAGUAAUAUCCUCUUCCAAGAAAAGGCAAGGUGUUCGGACAAGGAGGAUAAAAGUGGUGUGGCCAAGAAUGGAAUUGAGAACACUGCCUCCAAUAAGACAAAACUAAAUAAGCCAAAUGGUGGAAUUUCAAGGCCUAUACACCGUGUCUGGGUUUCACGGGUGUUCAAAACAAGGUACAGUGUAAUGCAGGGAACUUGAAAAGCAGAGCGUUUGACCUCAGCAUCCUGAAAUCAGGUGUGAGAAGAAGAAAACAAGACACCUUGUAAUUAAGACAGAUCCAAGACCAGAUUAAUAAUAAAUAUGGCAGGAAACAUUGGGAAGUGUCACCCUAGAGGCCGAACCAUGGAUUUUAAUAUGUAUCCUUUCAAUUAGCCAUUGACUCUGUGGACAUCCUUUCAUACUUAAUGGAAGCAGCCUAUGUUAAAAUUCAAAUAAAAUCUCA
rnacentral:lncRNA from 10 species